rnacentral:rRNA from 1 species
GAUGAACGCUGGCGGCGUGCCUAAUACAUGCAAGUCGAGCGAACAGAUGAGGAGCUUGCUCCUCUGACGUUAGCGGCGGACGGGUGAGUAACACGUGGAGAACCUACCUAUAAGACUGGGAUAACUUCGGGAAACCGGAGCUAAUACCGGAUAAUAUAUUGAACCGCAUGGUUCAAUAGUGAAAGACGGUUUUGCUGUCACUUAUAGAUGGAUCCGCGCCGCAUUAGCUAGUUGGUAAGGUAACGGCUUACCAAGGCAACGAUGCGUAGCCGACCUGAGAGGGUGAUCGGCCACACUGGAACUGAGACACGGUCCAGACUCCUACGGGAGGCAGCAGUAGGGAAUCUUCCGCAAUGGGCGAAAGCUUGACGGAGCAACGCCGCGUGAGUGAUGAAGGUCUUCGGAUCGUAAAACUCUGUUAUUAGGGAAGAACAAAUGUGUAAGUAACUAUGCACGUCUUGACGGUACCUAAUCAGAAAGCCACGGCUAACUACGUG